CGAACUUUCGGAGCUCAAGUUGCCAGUGGGUCUUCAAAGAGUCGACUGUCAAGAAGUUUGCUUGAGUUUGUGUUCAGUGUUUUAUUGUUGUGCGAUUUGUUGUUACAUUGUAUGUAAUGAUCGUGCUUGAAGGAAGUCACAAGUCACAAUUACGAAUAUCUGUGUCUAGGACAAGGCCGUUACGUGCAGUGGAGGGUAGCAGACGUGUCUCAGAUGACUGAGGUUACUACAGCUUCAAGUCAUGGCACCGAUGGAGUGUCUGCUGAACUGGAAUCACCUGAACGACCACUUCGCCGUUCCAGCCGUCUCGCCAACAGAAACAACCGAACGGGGAUUACCUGACCAACACUUAAAUCCACCCGGCUUGAACUAGUUUUUUUUUUCUUUCUUUCUUUCCCAUGUUGUAACCAAUGUAACGCUCCCUCCAUUGUUUGACCGUCAGUAGGACAGAAGAGGGAUACGGAGCAGUAUCCGAAAGUGUCUCCUUGUAUUUUUACCAUUGUACAAUAAUAUA